GGGCAUGUGGUGUAGUUGGUUAUCACGCUCGCUUAGCAUUUACGCUUGUGAGAGGGGUCCGGUUCAAUCCCGGACAUGUCCA